AGCAGAAGCCACAUUCAGAAAGUCUCACCAGCUUGAUGUCCCAAAUGUGAGCUGAACAAGGAAGGACACCACCAUAAUUAGUUCUAAUAAUGUAUGGGUUCUGAUCUGGAUCAUCAGGAGUUUAGACACGGGAAGAAGUUGGCGCUUGGAAGAAUUAAAUAGAAGGCAAGGUCAAAGCCCGAGCAGUGCACAUGUUUGGAACUGAAAUGGAAUAUUUCUGCCACUUUGCUCUUCUUCUGAUACACCUCAUAUAAUAUAAAACCCCCGUGGAUUCAUGUAAUAAUUAGUAUAGAUGUCUCUUCAUAUUAUUAGCUGACAGUUAACCUCCAUAUGACUUGAAGCAUCCAGUGUUUAAGACAAAUCUGUAGCACUUAUCUUAGGAGAGGUUAGAAGAAGGAGAGGCAGCUCUGUGUGAGUGCUAAGGGGCAGGGUUUCCUGAGCAGCUCUGUGGGCGGUUUCUCUAAUGCUGGCUGCAGUGGGCAUCAUGGCCAGUGCUGUUCCAUUUCCUCGGUGACUGCGCAUAUUUAUUGUAAAGUCUCAUUCCUAAAAACAUUUUAGGUGGAUCUCUUAAGGAACAUUAAUAGAGGACUUUUUGAAGUAUGCCUCAAGUACUGACCUUUGCAUCAGGAAGCAAUGCACCUGCCUCGUGCGCUUUCGCUAGAAAACUACCGACUUGAAGUACAGUAUAGUUAUCAAUAAAAUGGAGUCAGGAC
rnacentral:lncRNA from 1 species